UUGUUACUUUGGCAGAUUAGUGCAUUAAAUUUAGAAUUUAAUUAUGUAUUUUAAGGUACAGGUAAUAC
rnacentral:tRNA from 1 species